GACGAACGCUGGCGGCGUGCUUAACACAUGCAAGUCGAACGGAAAGGCCCUGCUUUUGUGGGGUGCUCGAGUGGCGAACGGGUGAGUAACACGUGAGAAACCUGCCCUUGACUUUGGGAUAACUUCAGGAAACUGGGGCUAAUACCGGAUAGGAGCUCCUGCUGCAUGGUGGGGGUUGGAAAGUUUCGGCGGUUGGGGAUGGACUCGCGGCUUAUCAGCUUGUUGGUGGGGUAGUGGCUUACCAAGGCUUUGACGGGUAGCCGGCCUGAGAGGGUGACCGGCCACAUUGGGACUGAGAUACGGCCCAGACUCCUACGGGAGGCAGCAGUGGGGAAUAUUGCACAAUGGGCGGAAGCCUGAUGCAGCAACGCCGCGGGCGGGAUGACGGCCUUCGGGUUGUAAACCGCUUUCGCCUGUGACGAAGCGUGAGUGACGGUAAUGGGUAAAGAAGCACCGGCUAACUACGUG
rnacentral:rRNA from 1 species